CUGACGUCAGCCACCAGAGGGAACCUGCGGCCGGUACUCAGGGUCACUGGGGUGACAGGACUGCAGAGUGGGCCCCUGGCCUGUCUAGGAAUAUCGGUCGAACACCGAGCCUGCGAGAGGCUCUUCGCGCCCACUUGCUCACCCGAUUGGGGUACUCCUUCUCCACACAGUCCCCACACAUCGUCACGCAGUUUUCGGAGAACGACCCCAGCGACACCCGGAAGGCGAAACCUCGCGAGAGUUGAGAUAUCGAUUUUGUCGCACACGAUCUAAGGACUCCACAGCUGGCUAAAAGUCUCCGCCCAUAGCAACGGUUGUUAGGCGGUCUCCGGGUAAGGAGGGUGCACCGAGGACUGGACUCAAAAAUCUUCAGGGUUAAAGCAGUGUCUCGAAG
rnacentral:lncRNA from 1 species